rnacentral:rRNA from 1 species
CGGAGCUUGCUCCACCGGAAAAAGAAGAGUGGCGAACGGGUGAGUAACACGUGGGUAACCUGCCCAUCAGAAGGGGAUAACACUUGGAAACAGGUGCUAAUACCGUAUAACAAUCGAAACCGCAUGGUUUUGAUUUGAAAGGCGCUUUCGGGUGUCGCUGAUGGAUGGACCCGCGGUGCAUUAGCUAGUUGGUGAGGUAACGGCUCACCAAGGCUACGAUGCAUAGCCGACCUGAGAGGGUGAUCGGCCACAUUGGGACUGAGACACGGCCCAAACUCCUACGGGAGGCAGCAGUAGGGAAUCUUCGGCAAUGGACGAAAGUCUGACCGAGCAACGCCGCGUGAGUGAAGAAGGUUUUCGGAUCGUAAAACUCUGUUGUUAGAGAAGAACAAGGAUGAGAGUAACUGUUCAUCCCUUGACGGUAUCUAACCAGAAAGCCACGGCUAACUACGUGCCAGCAGCCGCGGUAAUACGUAGGUGGCAAGCGUUGUCCGGAUUUAUUGGGCGUAAAGCGAGCGCAGGCGGUUUCUUAAGUCUGAUGUGAAAGCCCCCGGCUCAACCGGGGAGGGUCAUUGGAAACUGGGAGACUUGAGUGCAGAAGAGGAGAGUGGAAUUCCAUGUGUAGCGGUGAAAUGCGUAGAUAUAUGGAGGAACACCAGUGGCGAAGGCGGCUCUCUGGUCUGUAACUGACGCUGAGGCUCGAAAGCGUGGGGAGCAAACAGGAUUAGAUACCCUGGUAGUCCACGCCGUAAACGAUGAGUGCUAAGUGUUGGAGGGUUUCCGCCCUUCAGUGCUGCAGCUAACGCAUUAAGCACUCCGCCUGGGGAGUACGACCGCAAGGUUGAAACUCAAAGGAAUUGACGGGGGCCCGCACAAGCGGUGGAGCAUGUGGUUUAAUUCGAAGCAACGCGAAGAACCUUACCAGGUCUUGACAUCCUUUGACCACUCUAGAGAUAGAGCUUCCCCUUCGGGGGCAAAGUGACAGGUGGUGCAUGGUUGUCGUCAGCUCGUGUCGUGAGAUGUUGGGUUAAGUCCCGCAACGAGCGCAACCCUUAUUGUUAGUUGCCAUCAUUCAGUUGGGCACUCUAGCAAGACUGCCGGUGACAAACCGGAGGAAGGUGGGGAUGACGUCAAAUCAUCAUGCCCCUUAUGACCUGGGCUACACACGUGCUACAAUGGGAAGUACAACGAGUCGCGAAGUCGCGAGGCUAAGCUAAUCUCUUAAAGCUUCUCUCAGUUCGGAUUGUAGGCUGCAACUCGCCUACAUGAAGCCGGAAUCGCUAGUAAUCGCGGAUCAGCACGCCGCGGUGAAUACGUUCCCGGGCCUUGUACACACCGCCCGUCACACCACGAGAGUUUUAACACCCGAAGUCGGUGAGGUAACCUUUGAGCCACCGCU